UACGUAGGGAGCAAGCGUUGUCCGGAAUCAUUGGGCGUAAAGCGCGCGUAGGCGGCCCUGUAAGUCCGCUGUGAAAGUCAAAGGCUCAACCUUUGAAAGCCGGUGGAUACUGCAGGGCUAGAGUCCGGAAGAGGCGAGUGGAAUUCCUGGUGUAGCGGUGGAAUGCGCAGAUAUCAGGAGGAACACCAAUAGCGAAGGCGGUUCUCUGGGACGGUACUGACGCUGAGACGCGAAAGCGUGGGGAGCGAACAGG
rnacentral:rRNA from 1 species